UGGGGAAUAUUGGACAAUGUGCGCAAGCCUGAUCCAGCCAUGCCGCGUGAGUGAUGAAGGCCUUAGGGUUGUAAAGCUCUUUCAGUGGGGACGAUAAUGACGGUACCCACAGAAGAAGCCCCGGCUAACUUCGUGCCAGCAGCCGCGGUAAUCCGAAGGGGGCUAGCGUUGUUCGGAUUUACUGGGCGUAAAGCGCACGUAGGCGGAUCGUUAAGUCGGGGGUGAAAUCCUGGGGCUCAAAGCCAGAACUGC
rnacentral:rRNA from 1 species